rnacentral:rRNA from 1 species
AGCUAGUUGGUGGGGUAACUGCCUACCAAGGCGAUGAUCGGUAGCUGGUCUGAGAGGAUGAUCAGCCACACUGGGACUGAGACACGGCCCAGACUCCUACGGGAGGCAGCAGUGGGGAAUAUUGGGCAAUGGAGGAAACUCUGACCCAGCGACGCCGCGUGCGGGAUGAAGGCCUUCGGGUUGUAAACCGCUUUCAGCAGGGAAGAAGCGAAAGUGACGGUACCUGCAGAAGAAGCACCGGCUAACUAUGUGCCAGCAGCCGCGGUAAUACAUAGGGUGCAAGCGUUGUCCGGAAUUAUUGGGCGUAAAGAGCUCGUAGGUGGUUCGUCGCGUCGGAUGUGAAACUCUGGGGCUUAACCCCAGACCUGCAUUCGAUACGGGCGAGCUUGAGUAUGGUAGGGGAGUCUGGAAUUCCUGGUGUAGCGGUGGAAUGCGCAGAUAUCAGGAGGAACACCAAUGGCGAAGGCAGGACUCUGGGCCAUUACUGACACUGAGGAGCGAAAGCGUGGGGAGCGAACAGGAUUAGAUA